CUGAUAGAUAAGUGGGCAUGUCGGAUACAGAUGGAUUGAUCAAUUCAGGUAAAGAAAUGGAAGUUCGCCUGCUAAUCUUUAUUUGCAUGUGAGCCAUCCAUUUCUUUGCAUGUAUAGAAUCUACAGCUGUGGCCACAAUACUCGUGAUGAAAUUAAAAGCUAGCUAGACGGAUACAUGCACGCACAAAUCUUGUGAUGAUACAAAGAGACAAGGAAAAACAAAAGAUAGUCCGAAAUCAGAUAGUGCGGACAUGAAACAUGGCGUCACAUACUCAUAAAAAAGUUGGAUGCACACAAUACACAGUAGGUCGAUGUGCAAACUAGCCAAAUUCAUGCGCGAAGAACAGUCCAGGUUCUGUCCAAAAAAACAAAACAAUUUAAUUUUACAAUCUAACAAGAUCUUGCUAAUUAAUUUAUAUUCAAAACAGAUAUACCGCCACAUGUUACUCUGAGACAAACAUACCAUGGCAGACAUGAAUACAAGAGAAGUCCAAUCCAGUUUUAGGUUUAUUGUAUGCAGCUAUCUGUACUAGGCUGGAAAUUAACAAAAUGCACACUGACAAUCUGGUUGUGUUUGUAUACAAAGCUUACACAUUGCGAAGUCAUGCAUCAGCAAUAAGAACAAAAAUACUUGAAAGGAUAUUUCACUUGUUAAGGGGAUGCUUUAGCAGCAUAUAAACAAAAAUACACAGGGUCUAUAAUACAAAAAAGGUGUUUCUACCUGACAUACACUAAAAUCAUAUAGAAGUGACAAAAAAAAUUUCAAGGUCAUUAUCCUGUGCAAUGUUCUAAUGUGUGCAUAAAAUGGCAAACUGCUAUAUACUACAUACCUAAAGGGAUGUAUAAAUACAAAGAGCUUCAAGAUUUGGCACUUUUAAUGGAAAAAUACAAAUGAAUUAUAUAAACUAUAAGUUGAAUUUGAAAGCACGAAACCUCCAAUUUAAACUUCGUAUAUUUGUUGCAUAGUGUUACCUGAAGUUGGCAUGCAAGCUAAGUCGUGAAUGCAGUUCAAAACUAACAAUCCAUAUGGAUGAACAAGUCCAAUAGAAAGGACAUCAUAGACACAAACAUAUUAUUAUUGCUGUGCACAUUCUUCGUCUAAGACGACUGUUACAUAGAAGAAAUUGACUGGCAGUUCCAGUACCAAUGAUAACCAAAACCGUAGUGAUUGAUUAUGGGAAUGCAGUAGAGAUCCAUGUAAACACGUUUUAGGCUGUGUUUAACAGUUGCAUGCAUAUUCAAAUUCAGUUUGCUGUACCAAAUGCUAACUUCAAGAUCAAUCUUCAGAGCAGCACAUGCAUGAUCAGAUGAAAACAGCAUACAACAUAACAAUUCAGGGAGAAGGACAAAUGUAUAUGGAUAAAAUUCAGGUUGGUGUCCUAGCUAGUUAUACACACCCAGAAGUUUCGGACCACAUUGCAAGCAAACUACAAGCACAGAGUCAUCUCACCCAGAAGUUGUGAGAUAACAACCUUGUAAUUUAUAUCCCUUCCUGGGAUUGAGCAGCCGCUACGGCAUACUGAUGGUAUUUUACUCCUGAUUAAUACAAAGG
rnacentral:lncRNA from 1 species